rnacentral:rRNA from 1 species
GACAGAGGGUGCAAACGUUGUUCGGAAUUACUGGGCGUAAAGCGCGUGUAGGCGGUUCGUAAAGUCAGGUGUGAAAGCCCUGGGCUUAACCCAGGAAGUGCACUUGAAACUCACGAACUUGAGUCCCGGAGAGGAAGGCGGAAUUCUCGGUGUAGAGGUGAAAUUCGUAGAUAUCGAGAGGAACAUCGGUGGCGAAGGCAGGGUCCUGGCUGGCACCUGACGCUGAUGUGCGAAAGCCAGGGGAGCGAACGGG